UUUUUUUUGUGGUCAUAUCCAGCCGAUCCACCGAAGCGAAGGCAUCACCGAGCCAAAAUUCACGCGCUUCAGAAAUUUCGUUGGCAAUGUCUGAAAAGGUUGCGGUCCUUUAUCAGCCGCAACCACCAGAUAGGGAUCGGGCGCAUCAUGAAUCUGUGUCUGCUGCGGAUGAACAAUCUCGCCGCGACUAAGUUGUCUGU
rnacentral:rRNA from 1 species